rnacentral:rRNA from 1 species
GUCAUAUGCUUGUCUCAAAGAUUAAGCCAUGCAUGUCUCAGUACAAGCCAAAUUAAGGUGAAACCGCGAAAGGCUCAUUAAAUCAGUUAUGGUUCCUUAGAUCGUACCAACAAUUACUUGGAUAACUGUGGUAAUUCUAGAGCUAAUACAUGCAAACAGAGCUCCGACCGGAGACGGAAGGAGUGCUUUUAUUAGAUCAAAACCAAUCGGUGGCGGGUUCGCGCUCGUCAUCGUACAACUUGGUGACUCUGAAUAACUUUACGCUGAUCGCACGGUCAUCGCACCGGCGACGCAUCUUUCAAAUGUCUGCCUUAUCAACUGUCGAUGGUAGGUUCUGCGCCUACCAUGGUCGUAACGGGUAACGGGGAAUCAGGGUUCGAUUCCGGAGAGGGAGCCUGAGAAACGGCUACCACAUCCAAGGAAGGCAGCAGGCGCGCAAAUUACCCACUCCCGGCACGGGGAGGUAGUGACGAAAAAUAACGAUACGGGACUCAUCCGAGGCCCCGUAAUCGGAAUGAGUACACUCUAAACCCUUUAACGAGGAUCAAUUGGAGGGCAAGUCUGGUGCCAGCAGCCGCGG